rnacentral:rRNA from 1 species
UACGUAGGGUGCGAGCGUUAUCGGAAUUACUGGGCGUAAAGUGUGCGCAGGCGGCUUCGCAAGUCGAGUGUGAAAAUCCCCCGAGCUUAACUUGGGAUUGGCGCUCGAAACUACGGAGCUGGAGUGUGGCGAGAGGAAGGGUAGGCGAAUUCCACGUGUAGGCGGGUAGAAAUGCGUAGAGAUGUGGGAAGGAACCAGCCGGAGUGGAGCGGAAGGCAGCCUUCGUGGGC